AUGAUGACAGCAAGUGGGGUUAAUUUUGCUCCAAUAAAGAGUAAACUAGGGUGUAGGAUAAACAUGACCAGACAACGUAGGGCGUUUUCUGGUUGGAUAACCACUCGAACAGUCCUCCUUGUGCUUUGCCCCUGCUGUCUUGUGUUAUUUUCAUGCUCUUUGCUCAAUCAGUACAAGGUUAAUUGGUUUCACUUCCAUGCAGACAUGAGCAUGAGUGGAGAGUUGAAGUCCAGCCGCUCCAGGGCAGCGAGUAAGAGGGCCAGCAACACCAUUUAUGGAUCCGAGUUCGACCUGGACUGUGACAGCUACCACGAGGACUACAAUGACAGGGCGUAUGACUACCAACGUGUGCCGGCCUCGCUGUCGCCUCUGCCCGUCGGACCCGGUCUGGCCAAGCGAUCCCGUUCCUCCUCCUACUCCUCUGGGAACAAACGCAGUCGAGACAGAACCCACUCCAAAAGCUCCAGAGCCCACUCCACAAAUUCAUCCACAGCCAAGUUGGGCAUGGAGGAGUUGCAGGUGAUUAAAAAGGAGCUGACUCUGAUAAAGACACAGAUCGAUGGGCUGCUCGACAAUCUUGACAAAAUGGACACAGAGAGGAAUGACAGCAAAGGAUCUCCCCUGAGAGAGGAGAGUCCAGCCGGCUCACUGUACGCUCUGUCUGCCAGCAGCCCCGAGCACUCCCUCUCCUCCCUCUCCCCCCCCAGCUCCCGCCAUCGAAUCCGCAGAGAGAAACCGGACCUGAGGGGGCCUGAUGAUGAACACCACACGAUGAGCAACUACAGCUCUGACCCAGAGGAGGGAAUAUGAGGAAGAACCAUGGGAAGACAUAGAAGACAUGUAUUAAGUGCCAAACAUGGAGGAGGAGAAGAACAGCCGACACUCAAAUUGAACACGCUACAUGUAUGUUAUUGUGUCACAACAGCCUGGUUUCUGUGAGAAUACAUUCAAGUCUAAUUAAAACACUGACACAGUUGACUUAUACGCAUUAAGUACAAAGAUAUCCCAUUAGUAAUGAUUUGUAAGGUUGACCUGAGAGAGGACAACUGGAUGAACGGUAAUUAAUUCAUCUUUUAAUUCCCUAAGGAGGCAUUCCUAUUUAAUUGUAAAAGACGGGCUACACAAAUGCGUGUUUUCCAAAUAAAUCCAAACACUACAGAAUGAAGACAAAAAACGAGACACAUUUUAAACCUUGUGUUAGUAGUUUAAAAAUUGAUUCUGUCAGGCAGCAAAUGCCAGCAUCAGACUGUAAAUAUGGUAAUAAUUUAGAUUAAUAAUGUAUGUGUCAUGUUGCUAGAGGUGCUGCAACAUUCUGCUGCUUCACCUGUUUCUCCCAAGAAAGACAUUCUUCUAUCUUGAAUAAGAUAUCUUAGAAACAACAUAGAACCAAGAAUAUAAAUAAAGCUAGGGAACUUAAACACGACGUCAUUGACUUACUAAAAUAUUUCAAUUUUCAAAAUAAUGGUAUAAUUGCAAAAGCUACUGGAGUUUUACGUGUAAUGUAAAAGCAAAACAAAAGAAAGCACUACACUCUCCAACUUGAUCUCUUUUUGUUGACGCAUAGCUCAUCCUUUCCCUUUAUUGUAUACUUCUAAGAUGUGAAAAUUAGCUAGACAAAGUUAUCAACGGUUAUCUUUGAGAGAUUGAAGAUCAUUCAGGUGAAAGGUUGUUUUCUGCUUGUAUCAGUAUGCUGUAAAAUGUGUUGAUGAAAUGGUACUUCGGUCUUCCAUCAUGUAUUUGGCACUUUUAAGACACACAUAAUAUUGUGUAUUAUUGUAAACUUUACUGUAAUUGUUGAACUGUCUGAUUUGAAUCUUGCUUUAGGACUUCUCAUGUGUUUUUUUUUAAAGAAAACAAUUAUGUUAUUCCUAUGGUGUUACAUUUCUUUUGUUUGUUCUCCCGAUUAGCCAAGUGGAAAUACUCAGUCACAGUAGUAAAGGUAUUUUCAUAUUGAGUAUAAAUACAGUACAUGGAAGUGUGUGUGUGUUUUUUAAGAGACCAUAUGGUCAUAGAUCCUAAAAUGUUCUCACAAAUAAAUCCAAGUGCAUAAAUCAUAUUAUGAUAGACUGUAUGAAACAGGAAGGUUGAUUAUUGUAAUCAUAGUCUUGCUUGCAGGAACACAGAGAGGUAGAUCACAUGAUCGUAGGACUCUCUGAAUCCAGAACAUCGAUCUUUCUCUUUGCACGCAUGAUUCGAGCGAAGGUCAAUCGUACCGUCAGGCAGAAAUUGAAACACUCCAUAUUGUGUGUGUGGUUCUGAGGACGGCUGCAUUUCCAAGAGUUUUCAUGGCAAUAGCUUAGUAAAUGGACCUUCUGAUUAGAAUGUUUAUAACAGUUCAUGACACAGACUUUUUUGACAGUUGUGUCUAAGAAAGACUGAAAUAUAUGGUUGCAUUUUCGCAUAAAGUAAUCCCUAAAUGUUUGAUCAUUUUCUGAUAUGCUCUAUAUACUAAAAGCAUGUAGUCGUCUUUAGAUUAAGAACGUGUACAUGAGAAUCAAAUCCAAAUGCAGCUGUAUUUAUAAAUUAAAUAAUUCAGUAGCCUGAUAUAACUGUCACCAUCUUUUGAUGUGUUUAAAGAGCCGUGCCUGUUGGCCACAAUUAGCUUUAACAGAUCCCACAAUCUUUAAAUUAAACACUCUGGUUUGAACGCAUUAAAUUGAGAGGGAGGUAAAGGGAGGUAUUAUGUGCUCGUCUACGUCUGCCUUGGCCUCUGAUUAUUACACUUUCGUCAUCCAUUUCCACGAAGUUCAAAGUGCAGAAACCAAAGUGGCAAAAGGAGCUCUUGCACAACCAUUCUUCUGUUGACAGAAAGAUAAGCAUUUGAGAACUACAUGUCUUUCUGAAUAGGUCAGUAUGCACAAUUGCAAGAGGAAAACGUGACAAACAUCUGAUGCCGUUUAAUAAACCAUGAAAUUACAUAUUUUCAGUUAAAACCUCUCAUCCGGUAUAGUCACAGUACACAUGAGUGUAAACAGGCUGCAGCAGCUCAAGGGCCAUAUAUUGCCUCAAAAUAAGGUAAGCACAAAUCUUUUAAAAAUGUAUUAUACAAAAAACGAUUUCAUUCAUUGGAAUAGAAAAUGAUAUUAAACAUGUUGUAUGGAAGGUUUAUUACAUUAUAUAGCUAGUUGACUUAAAGUAAAAAGUAAGAUAAGCUACAACAGGAGCAGUCAAUAGUACAGUCAUGGAAAUAUAUUUGACACAAAAAGCUAUUGACUUAAUUAUUUUUCAAAUUUGGAAUCAACUGAUUAUAUCCAGGAUUUCAUUCAGCUGUUAUUAGUUUGAUGAACUAUCUGUAGUUGAGGUAACUACAUGUCCUUUUAAUACAAUUAUUCUAAGUACAUUACCCUUUAUACAUAAUAACUUACAAGAUACUUGUACAAUUUGCUACUUUUAUUUGCAGUGUUUUAAAUAGUAAAUUCAUGGCAGACUUACUAUAAACCUGCAUUAGAAAAAAUAAAUCAGUUUUAUUAUUUAUUAUUUUCCAAUGCGCUCCCGAAUAAAUCUCACACCAAAUUUCAACUUUUAAUGUUUGACAAC
ensembl:lncRNA